GUGCUUGCUUCAGCAGCACAGAUACUAAAAUUGGGACAAUACAGAGAUUGGCAUGGCCCCUGCUCAAGGAUGAUACACAAAUUCGUGAAGUGUUCCAUAUUUUU
ensembl:snRNA U6 U6 spliceosomal RNA